rnacentral:hammerhead_ribozyme from 1 species
NGCCAUCUGACGAGUCUUAAAUAGGACGAAAUGCGCAUCCUGGAU